rnacentral:tRNA from 1 species
GACUCCGUAGCACAACGGUAGCGCAUUCAACUCCAGAUCAAAAGGCUGCGUGUUCAAAUCACGUCGGGGUCA